UGGGGAAUAUUGCGCAAUGGGGGAAACCCUGACGCAGCAACGCCGCGUGAAGGAUGAAGGUUUUCGGAUCGUAAACUUCUUUGAUGAGGGACGAAAGCAAUGACGGUACCUCAAAAACAAGCCACGGCUAACUACGUGCCAGCAGCCGCGGUAAUACGUAGGUGGCGAGCGUUGUCCGGAAUUACUGGGUGUAAAGGGCGUGUAGGCGGGAAUGUAAGUCAGAUGUGAAAUACCGAGGCUUAACCUCGGGGCUGCAUCUGAAACUAUGUUUCUUGAGUGUCGGAGAGGAAAGUGGAAUUCCCAGUGUAGCGGUGAAAUGCGUAGAUAUUGGGAGGAACACCAGUGGCGAAGGCAACUUUCUGGACGAURACUGACGCUGAGGCGCMAAAGCYUGGGGACCAAGUAA
rnacentral:rRNA from 1 species